UAUGUCUCUUUAGCGGCUCGGUUUGCUUGGAUCAUACUCUCCGGCUUCUAAUGGAGAUGUUGAUGAUGUCGGCUCUUGGUGGCACUCCGGUUGCUGGAAGAGCCCCUCUUCCUUAGGGAUCCACGGGGACAGAGCAAGAUUCAAAAAACUCAGAGACACAGAUAACAUUAACCUUGAAAACUCACAAGUAUUUCACAGCUCAUCGAUGUCAGUGAGUUAACAAUCAAAGGGAAUUUUACUCGAAUUGAGAAUGGCAGUAAGAGGACCUAGAUAUAUGGCAGCAGGUAUAGAGGCCGGCGCUGAUUGAGAAGGCGAUGAGUGCGACUCCGAGCCCGUCGGUGGCCGCCGAGAGGGAGAAGCAGAGGAGGAGAGAUGUUCGCGUCGGUUUCUUCUCUCUUUUUCUAUAGGGAUGGGGAUUUGGGAAGUGGCCGUUGGUGGUGGAAUGAAUCAGCGUUCUCAUUGCUGCCCCUCUCUUUCCUCGUCAGCGGCGUCAGGGCGUGUCGAUGGUCAAGUUAACCCCGCCGUCACGCACGGUCGAAACAUGGCGAAGAGAUAGACGGACGGCUGAGAUGGGCCUGUCGAUGAUCAAGUUAACCACGUCGUCACGCGCGGAGGUGGACCCCGGACAGCGAAGCUUUUUUGGCAGGUAGGGACCGCUGCUAUCUUAUCGCGUUAUUGGUGGGGGCGUGGGUGGAAAUACUGCUGGUAAUUUAUUGCACCAACCAACGUGGUUGGCUUCUCGCACGCUCCCUGUCAAUAAUUGGCGGAGGUGGAACCUGGCGAGUGCCAAUUUUCUAACCCUAUUAACUAUUUUAAAAAAAUACUCAAUAGCAUAAGUCGAGUUGUGCACAGAAUUAUUGAUUUGAUGAACUUUACUUGAAUGACUGAAAUAUUCCCACCCA